GCCUUCCCACCCGAGGCAGGUAUUGUUUCUGAACGGCUCCUACCCACACCUGGAAGCUCCUCUUCAUCUCUUUGCUGUGGAGAAUCACGAUCCCCGAGCAGCCCUGGGUUGUACACGCAUCUGAAACAGCUGUCACAGCUAGGAAUGUGGCAUACUCGAUGCCCACCUUGUCUCCCAGGCCAGCGCUGUGUGGCAGAACCUGGCAGACCAGUGCCGUUACAGGAAACGUCUACAUGUGUGCCCCACACAGAGGUGGUCCCUAGCUACAGGUAGCUAUCGUGAUGCAGUGUGCAUUUGAAAUCAAA
rnacentral:lncRNA from 1 species